UACGUAGGGUGCAAGCGUUGUCCGGAAUUAUUGGGCGUAAAGAGCUCGUAGGCGGUUUGUCGCGUCUGCUGUGAAAUCCCGAGGCUCAACCUCAGGCCUGCAGUGGGUACGGGCAGACUGGAGUGCGGUAGGGGAGAAUGGAACUCCUGGUGUAGCGGUGGAAUGCGCAGAUAUCAGGAAGAACACCGAUGGCGAAGGCAGUUCUCUGGGCCGUAACUGACGCUGAGGAGCGAAAGCGUGGGGAGCGAACAGG
rnacentral:rRNA from 1 species